rnacentral:rRNA from 1 species
UACGUAGGGGGCUAGCGUUGUCCGGAAUCAUUGGGCGUAAAGCGCGCGUAGGCGGCCUGGUAAGUCCGCUGUGAAAGUCAAAGGCUCAACCUUUGAAUGUCAGCGGAUACUGCCAGGCUAGAGUCCGGAAGAAGCGAGUGGAAUUCCUGGUGUAGCGGUGGAAUGCGCAGAUAUCAGGAGGAACACCAACGGCGAAGGCAGCUCGCUGGGACGGUACUGACGCUGAGGCGCGAAAGCGUGGGGAGCGAACAGG